rnacentral:other from 1 species
AGCUGCCUGAAAUGCGCGGCGCUCCUGUUUUUGGACCACCAUUUUUUGAAGGGGAGUCCGAGUCGAAGUGGAAUAUGAAUAAGCCUUCUUAGGAGGACAUUCUAAGACCACCGCAGGGCACCCACCUGGCGAUAGGCUGGGUAUCAAAAAAGGGGUGCGGCAUUUCGGGUUUCCU